UGGGGAAUAUUGGACAAUGGGCGAAAGCCUGAUCCAGCCAUGCCGCGUGUGUGAAGAAGGUCUUCGGAUUGUAAAGCACUUUAAGUUGGGAGGAAGGGCCAUUACCUAAUACGUGAUGGUUUUGACGUUACCGACAGAAUAAGCACCGGCUAACUCUGUGCCAGCAGCCGCGGUAAUACAGAGGGUGCAAGCGUUAAUCGGAAUUACUGGGCGUAAAGCGCGCGUAGGUGGUUUGUUAAGUUGGAUGUGAAAUCCCCGGGCUCAACCUGGGAACUGCAUUCAAAACUGACAAGCUAGAGUAUGGUAGAGGGUGGUGGAAUUUCCUGUGUAGCGGUGAAAUGCGUAGAUAUAGGAAGGAACACCAGUGGCGAAGGCGACCACCUGGACUGAUACUGACACUGAGGUGCGAAAGCGUGGGGAGCAAACAGGAUUAGAUACCCCAGUAGUCCCUGAGCGGGCUGGCAAGGCGCAU
rnacentral:rRNA from 1 species